GGGGGCAGACAGGUGGGCAGACAGGUGGGCAGACAGGUGGGCAGACAGGUGGGCAGACAGGGGCACACAGGUGAGGUCUUUGGUAGAGAGUUCAAAGGGGAGGAGUCAGUAUCAGCUCACGCCACGCAAACUUGUGACAAACAUUACAUUUCCUGUAGCUUCUUCACAGUAAGACAUCGUGCCGGCUCUCAGGUGGAAAGCUUUUAAUAACAGCAGCAGGAAAAGGUGCGUUUGUACAGAAAAUAAUCGCAGUUCAGCAAACGGAAAGUCAUCAGCAAACAGUCGAAUAAAGCUGACAUGAACAGGAACUUCAGUAACGCCGUUUCACGCUUUCAUUGUCAACAGGAAACAUUUCAGAAGCUUCUGUUCUUAUUAUUGUUAUUUUAUCUUCUGUUACUAUUGUUUUUUGGACAUUUUGUGCCUUUUUUAGAUAGCGAAGUAGUAGCGAGAUGACACGAGGGACUCGAACCGGGGACGUUACGUUCAUGGUCAAAGUUUUAACCCCCUGAACCACAGGGACAACCUGCGCCGAGUCUUUAGCUUUAUACCGAGUAUCUCUGCUCCAUGACCGCUGCCGCCACUGGUUCCUGACAUACUGAGCUCUGAUUGGACAAUCACUGUUUGGGGGAGGGGUUUAACUGGACCUGAAGCAACGUGGGGGGCAGACAGGGAUGGGGGAGUUCAGUUACUGAAGGACUGGAGGGUUUUUAUUCCGAGUUCAGACAGAAACACAGAAGAAGCUGGGGAUCAAUAAUCAAUCAUCAUUUAUCA